UUAACUCCAAACUUACGUCUACAGCUCUGAUUGUGGUUAGACUUUAGCCUCUCAGCUCCUACUGUCUCCUGAGGACCUUCACCUCUCUAUUCAGUCAUCACUAUAAAUUUAGUUUGUCUAACCCAAACUUACCAUCUUUCCCUUUUAAACCAGCGCUUGCUCUGAAUUUCGUCCCUUGCUUUCUUGUUCUCUCAUUCAUUCAUCAAGUAUAAAGACUCCUAAUCACCCAUACUAGAAGCUUCAGUCAUCUUGAUUUCUCCCAGGCUUCCCAGCUUUUCAUCACUGGGUGACUAGACCAGUAACUAAAACAUUUGUUUUCUAACUGGUAUUCAUGCUUCUAAUCUUCCUCAAACCAACCCUUACCAACCCUUUACAUAGCUCUUGCCAGACUGACCUUCCCAAAAUACUCCCAGAUUGGCCGAGAGUAAUUUAGGAUUUCCAGUGGAAACUGCCUUCAUUCAGUCUCCUUGCAUUCCCUCGUUGGAAGUGUGUGGGCUACUCAUUGUGGAGGCCUCUUUUGUGCUGGCGCACAGGCUUAGUUUCUCCUUGGCAUGUGAGAUCUUCAUGGACCAGGGAUCGAACCCACGUUCCCUGCAUUGGCAGCUCCUCUCUUCCAGCCAAACUCAUCCAUACAUACCUCAGUGCAUACACCCAUAGUCCUGUCUAGACCUGUGAUAGUGCAUCCUGUGAAGACCUUCCCUUUGCUUAUCUAAGAACUCCUCUCCUUCAAGCCAUCCUACCCUCGAGAAGACUUCCUCCUCUAGAGAAAUCCUUUGCCACUUCUUCACGACCCAGAUAAUCACGAUGGUGUGAUCACUGACCUAGAGCCAGACAUCAUGGAAUGUGAAGUCAAG
ensembl:lncRNA